UACGGGGGGAGCAAGCGUUGUUCGGAUUUACUGGGCGUAAAGGGCGCGUAGGCGGCCACCGCAAGUCAAUUGUGAAAUCUCCGGGCUUAACUCGGAAAGGUCAACUGAUACUGCGGGGCUAGAGUGCGGAAGGGGCAACUGGAAUUCUCGGUGUAGCGGUGAAAUGCGUAGAUAUCGAGAGGAACACCUGCGGCGAAGGCGGGUUGCUGGGCCGACACUGACGCUGAGGCGCGAAGGCCAGGGGAGCGAACGGG
rnacentral:rRNA from 1 species